AGGAGGAUUUAGUAGUAAAUUAA
rnacentral:piRNA from 1 species